rnacentral:hammerhead_ribozyme from 1 species
CUGCAACUGACGAGUCCCAAAUAGGACGAAGCGCGCGUCCUGGAU